rnacentral:lncRNA from 1 species
AUGGCUGGGCUGUCGGCUCCCGGCCGGCGUUCCCGCCCAACCCGCCACGGGCGUCCCUGCCCCCAUCCCGGGGCGCCCCUCGUCCCAGCCCCUCCGCCCCACGCAGCCGACGCGCGAGCCGCGCGGAGGGCAAAGUUGGCAAGUGCACGGCGCCCGCGGGGGAAAGCGUUAAUGGGCGGCCGGGUGGGAGCAGCGCGCUCGCUCGCCCACGUCACGCCGGUGCGGGCUCUGCUGACGACCGCGGCGCCUGGGGACGCCGGCGCGCUCCGCUCGCCAGGUGCUCCGCCUGGAAAUGUCUCCAUUAGUUGUCGCCUGCUCCCCGCCGGAGCGCGCGCGCCGAGCGGCCGCGCAGAGCCCUCGCGGGCGGCCGGUAGUGGCCCGGCGCCACAGCAGGUAGGCGAGGUCCCCGCGCCCGCCCCCGCCCCGGGGCUCCGAGACCCCUCCCCCAUUCCGGGGAGGCGGAGGCUCCGCGCGGCCGCCGAGGGGCGCGGGCGGCAGCGACUGCGGCGACUCCCCGGUGCGUCCCGGGCUGCGCGCUGCUCCCCGCGGCCCCGGCGCCCGAGCGGCGCGGGCGGGCGCGUCCCCAGCGCAGGUAGGGAGUGGGAUCGGCCGCACAAACUUUGCGAGGAUCGCUCCUGCGCUGGAGGGCACAAAGUUUGCUGCCUGCCGGUGGGGUCUCGGGAGGCCGCCGCGUUUGCUGCAAGUUGGGGAAAACGGGAUGCGGGGGUAGCGCGGGGGCUAGCGCCGGGCAACAAGGCCUCAGUCCAGAGUCCUCGACCGCGCGCCUUCCGGGUUCGGGCGGCGCCCUGCGAGCGAGCGUUGGGGUCGCGGCGGGAGAUCCGGAGGGAGCCAGCCAGAAUGGAGGGCGUUUCGGGGAGAAGGAUUCAAGGCGUGCGCCUGCAGCUCGCUCCACUGGCUUCGCAGGGGACCCCGGAGGACGGGCUGCGAAGGAGUGACCUGCCACCCUCGGGGUUCGCUAGCGCAGCGCCUCCGACUUGUAGAACGCCUCUUAGCCCUCCACCCCGACCGGGUGUCCACGAGCAGUGGACAGGCACAGACACCCCAGGGGCUCUGCCCUAUGCCUCCGAAAGGAAGGCCCCUGCCUGGUGCUGCGCGCUCCCGCCUCCGCCCUCUGCCUGGGGUCAACUUCGCUGGGCUGGAGAGAUCCCUCUGGCGGCUCUCGGUGCGCCAGACGGCGGUGGCCCCCGGGGACGACUCUGGGAACUGGCCGGGAGUGCCCGGGCUUUGCUGGUAGCGAGGGCGAAGCCACUCACAGAGCAGGGAAAGGUCGAGGCGCGGCCUCUCGCUCCAGAGGCCCCCCCACGGUUCCGAUGGUCCCUGGGCAAAAGGCGCCCUCUUGGCCUCUAA